rnacentral:tRNA from 1 species
AAAGGGAGACCUAAUUCAGGUAAAAGACGAAAAAAAAGUAGUCGCUACCAAGAAUCAAUCCCAAAAGGUCGGAGCGAGGCGAAAUUGGCUUUCAAACUAGGUUCUGGGUUCAAACAAGACCUGAAUCAGGAACAAGGGCUAUUAGCUCAGGUGGUUAGAGCGCACCCCUGAUAAGGGUGAGGUCCCUGGUUCGAGUCCAGGAUGGCCCACCUGCACAGGUGGCAAAAACAAGAGAAGCGAGGAAUCAGCACCUUAUCUUAUAUACAUAUAUAAGAGAGAAUGCUGGCUCUGAGUACAGAGUCCAGAGGAACCUUGAAAACUGCAUAGAGCUAGGUGAAAAAGCCAAAAAAGAAGACCGCAAG